rnacentral:lncRNA from 1 species
CUAGUAUCUGAGGGAAACAUGCCUAAAAUCAUAACGUUGGAAAUAGGUUCUACUUGUUGCCCUUCUCAAGGAGAAAAUUGGAGUUGGAGGUUUAUUCCAAAUUAGGGAGAGUUCCUCUGGUGAGAGAAAAUAUAAUGAAUUUUGUCUGGAAAACAGAAAUCUCUUAAGUGAGAGAGAGGCAGUUGAUUUGUUUACUGUUGUUACAUCUGUUUCUCUGAAGGGGCAGGAAGGUUUAUAGCUUUUUAUUUAAUCAUCUUGCUGAUGUUAUACACUCUACAUGAAUUUAUAUAUUUUAUAUCAUUCUUAUAAAUUAUCAGUUUAUAUUAAUUUAAUUUGAGCUUUGGUUCUUUGUUCUAAAGGUUAAAAUAUUUAUUUAAAAUUAUGGAUAACAGUUUAUCAACUGUGCAACAUAUUGCAAAUGUCUUAUCAUAGUCUGUAAUAUAGUUUGGCUCUGUCCCCACCCAAACCUCAUCUUGAAUUAUAACUCCCACAAUUUCCACAUUUUGUGGGAGGAACCUGGUGGGAAGUAAUUGAAUCAUGGGGGCAGGUCUUUCCCAUGCUGUUCUCAUGAUAGUGAAUAAGUCUCAUGAGGUAUGGUGCUUUUAAAAACGGGAGUUUCCCUGCACAAACUCUCUCUCUCUUUGCCUGCUGCCAUCCAUGUAGACGUGACUUGCUCCUCCUUGCCUUCAGCCAUGAUUGUGAGACCUUGCCAGCCACUUGGAACAGUGGUGCCUUGACAUUAUUGGUUCACCAACAGAGCAGAACUGCCUCAGCCAUCAAUAAUAAUUCAACGCAUCAGGAUGAGGCCUACGCAUGGGCCACAGAGGAUAUGUAAUGACUUAAGAUACCAACUCCACAUUCUGUGGUAAGAGAUGAAGAUCCAGGAAAUGUAUGGACACCUAUAGCCUGAAGAAUAUUGUCAGAAAAAAACACUGGGAUCUGGAAGCGAAAAGGAAACAUAGAAAACGAGACAGGAAGGUGAAGAAAGUUGAAGAUAAACUUUCUUUUUCACAAUGUUUUUAUGGACAAGUUCAGCCCAUAAAUCAAAAAUUACCUUUAUGGAUGAAAUAUUAGUUAAGUCAAGAUCAUCUUUUUCAUUUCCUACAUGCAGGUUGAAUCUCAUUUAUGGAGUGAGAUGUCAAAUAACAACAAAAAAUGCACUUAAUUUGCAUAAAGAUGCUUGUAAGGUAACAUUGCUCCACACUUUGCUUUAUUCACAUCAUUAGAGGAAAUAUCUUAUUCCUCUAGCUGUUUCUGGCCAUGGCUCAAGGAAUUAAAAACUUCCAUUCAUUCCUUCAGACAGUACAGUUAACAAGAGGAUAACUUUUUUUAUUAUCUCUGUCCUUCUCCCUCAGGAAGCAGAGAAUUAUCAGAUUGGUGAGAGAAAGGAAAUAAAGGUCUGAACAUGUGUCUCAAGUCACCUCUUUUGGGAGCACUCUGUUCUCAGUUUAUUUUAAUUCUGUUUCUCAAUUUAAUGAGUUUACUAGAGCAGGGUCCACUAUUACCCUGUGGAGAUCCUUAAUGAUACAUGGAUAUGUUUAAUUCUGGGAAUAAAGUAGUUAAACUGGCUAGUGAUUAUGCCACAUUGUUAGAGUCAUCUUUGUCAAUAAGAAAGUUGUUCAUAUUUAUGACAUCUGUAUCCAUUUCUUCAGAAGUGUGACUAUUAUUCAUAUAUCCCCAAUACACACAAAAUAUAUAGUUUUAACUAAAUUUUUAAUCUGUUACAUAUUUUUCUAGGUUACUAGCUAGAGACAUCCUGGUUGUUUCCAAUUUGUUGUAAACUGGAAAUUUGAUGCUAAACAAGUAGUGUUAUGACAAGCCUUCUUAUUCAUAACUUGACAUGCUUUUGCCAGUAUAUUUUAGAUGAAAUUUUGAGAUUAUGGUGGAGUCAAAUCAUAUGAACACUUUAAAUUUUGCUCCGUUAUUACCACAUUCCUGUGCAAAAGUGACACCAAUUUACAAUGCCAUAUUGUAUAGACGUGUUUCAUGGUACCUUAAAACAAUUACAAUGUUAAUAACAAAGAUAAGUAAUCACAGAGCACUAUGUCAGAUAUAAUACUAAUUUAAAAAGUUUGAAAUAUAAUGACAAUUAACAAAAUGUGACUAGGAGGCUCAAAGUGAGCACAUGCUGUUGGUAAAAUGAUGCUAACAGACUUGCUUAAUGUAGGGUUGCCACAAACAGAAGUAAAAAGUGCUUAUUUGCCGACAACCUUGCCAAAUAUUGACUCUAUAAAAUGGUUUAAAAUUAUUUAUAUUACAGAUACUUUGCUUUGCUAUUUCUAAUUCUCUUAUUUUGUAAACAGUGUUAUUUUAGCCACAUAUGUAUUUCUUUCGCUCUGGAUUUCUCAUUUCAUUUUAAUUUUGUGUGUAUGUCCUUGAUGGAUUCUUUGAAUUUUUGUUUUCAUUGCAUCUUUCUGUAUAAUUAUUCCUGGGAUAUUGUGUCAUUUUUAAAAAUUGCAUUUCGUAGGAUGGAUUCCUAAUACUUUCUUUGCAUGUGCUUUUAUGUUAUUUUAUUUCCUUGUCUUAUUACUAAAAAGUGAUUUUAUACUUGCCAUGAUUUUCAGGUUUCCCAGCUUAAGAUGGACAGUUCUUACACUUUGAUGUAGCAUGGGCAAAUUUGUCUCUACUUUUUCACAUCAAGCUAUAGUUUAAGCAUUGAGUUUUGAAAUGUGCCCACUUUUUCCCUAGCCUGAGUGUGUAGAGAAUAAGCAGAUGAGCUCAAUUGGUGUGCAAUUUAGGUAAAAGACCUGGACUCUUUCUCUUGCCUAAAAUUUUAUUAAGUAUCUAAUCCCAUAGCUUGCUCUCUUUCCAGGAGGCAGUUUUACUGCCGCCAGGGAAAUAGCCUUGCUUUCAAAUCUCUUCCUUAAUUCAGCGCAGAGCCACCAAGGCUUUGCUUGUAUCAAUGAGCCAUCUCAUGUACCUUCAUCCCCCAUUUCACCAGUCUUUUCCUGGCACUUUCUCCCUCUAUUCCUCACUCUAAGACUGAGUGGGGAAUCAAUAUUUGGCUGUAAAGGAGUAUAUGGUGUCUUACCUUGUGUGCUGAAACAAUGUAUUUACUCAAAGUGUUAUGGAUUUUCUUUUUUCUCUACAUUAUGCCAAGACAUAAAUUCUGAGAGUGUUUAUGAUGGUGCCUCUUUUCCCCUCUGCUUUCUUUCCAAGUUAGAGACAUCAAAAUAAUAAGCCUUAACCAUUUUCCUGUUUUUAAAAGAAAUAGUUAAUUUUUAUGGGAAUUAUUAGGUGUCUCCCGGGCUACUCAUGUAAAUCCUCAUUUUAUCUGUUUUUAAAUUGAGUUAUUCAUGAGAUGCUUUCUGCAUUUUGUUUUUUAGGAAAUUUUAGGAAACAAAGAUAAAUGUCAUAUGGUCUUUCAAAUGUCAUAUGGUCUCUCAAAUAUCAUAUGGUCUCACAUCCCCUCCAAACUAUUUUAAAUAUGGCCUGACUUUGGGAAUGAAGGCUUUACUUGGACAUGGAUAUGACUGUAGGCAUUUUCCUUUAUAUUCCUUUAUAACUUACUGUUAUGCAUCUACUAGCAGCUGUUAAGGUCACUCCAAAACUGACAUUCUCUCCCCAUGUUUGCUUCCACUAAAACCCAUCUGGUGAUGGAACUGUGCAUACCUUCAUCAAGUAUUUUGAAAACAAAACAAAACAAAAUAAGCAAAAACAAAGUAAACAAAAGACAGAUAUCUGAAUCAGACAGAAUUAGUUUUGGAUCCCAGUCUGUCACCAGUUACUUGUUUAAAAUGGAGCAGGUUACUUAACAACUCUGAGAAAUAUUUACUUAAAACACUCAAGUAUAAUAUGUAUUUUGCAGACAUUUUGUGAUAAGUAAAUGAGGUAUGUGUGCAUGUGUGGGCUUGUGUAUAAAAUAAACUCUCUUGAUUGGCCUAUAUAACUGUCUUUUUCAUUCAGGAUGAAUGGUGGGUAACUUUUUUACUCACUCAAGCUACAUCGUAUUCUAUUCAGAUUAAUCUAAUUUCUUAUCUGAAAUAGUUAAAAUAUGUGAUAUACUUUGACAAAUAUCAAGGUAAUAAACAUUUGAAAAAGGACACAUUUUUCUCUUCCUUAUUUCCUUAAGCCAAUUCAUUCUUCUACUAUAUUUUAUUUUACAUAAACGUUACUUUAAUUUUAUAUAUGCACUAUGCAAUCUAAAAAGUACAAUUGCCUGUGAUGUCCAUAUACUUUACCUUUCUUAAGAGAGGUACAUUCGUUUAAUUUAUUCUUAUAAUCUAGUUGAUAUGAGUAAAUCUUUUAAAUAACUAGGGGCGAAUUUUGCUCCAAUCCACCUAUAUGAAAAUAUUUAUCAUUUUUAAAAAGGCAAUUCUCUCAGCUUAGACAAAAUAAAACCCAUCUUUACAAAAGAUACAAAAAAAAAUUCGUUGGAUGUGGUGGCAUGUGCCUGUGGUCCCAGCUACUCAGAAGGCUGAGUGGAGACGAGAAGAUCACUUGCACCCACAUGGGUUGAGGCUCCAGUGAGCCAAAUUCUUGCCUCUGCACUACAGCCUGGGUGACAGUGAGAUCUGCAGAAAGAUGAGAUGCUCUUCCAAGCAAGUAAUAGAUCUUUGGGUUGCAGAUAUUGGCAGAACAUUGGCAUAUUCUGGGACCUCAAGCAUUUGAUACCCAAGAAAAUAUAAUUUUAAUGUAUGCUUUCUAAUGUCUCUGCGGAUAUCACCAUGAGGUGCUAACUUUUUAUAUCAGAUAUUAUAACUUUAUUAUUGUAUUAUACCAAGUUGACAUUAUUGCUAUAUUUUCUUUUAUUGAUUUCAAUACUAUAAUUAUAUGUUUGCAUCCAGUAAGAAUAAAUAUGGGA